rnacentral:rRNA from 1 species
GAUGAACGCUGGCUACAGGCUUAACACAUGCAAGUCGAGGGGAAACGACGGGGAAGCUUGCUUCCCCGGGCGUCGACCGGCGCACGGGUGAGUAACGCGUAUCCAACCUGCCUCUGACUGAGGGAUAACCCGUCGAAAGUCGGCCUAAUACCUCAUGGCAUCGUCUGCGGGCAUCCAACGACGAUUAAAGAUUUCAUCGGUCAGGGAUGGGGAUGCGUCUGAUUAGCUUGUUGGCGGGGUAACGGCCCACCAAGGCAACGAUCAGUAGGGGUUCUGAGAGGAAGGUCCCCCACAUUGGAACUGAGACACGGUCCAAACUCCUACGGGAGGCAGCAGUGAGGAAUAUUGGUCAAUGGGCGAGAGCCUGAACCAGCCAAGUAGCGUGCAGGAAGACGGCCCUAUGGGUUGUAAACUGCUUUUAUGCGGGGAUAAAGUGAGGGACGUGUCCUUCAUUGCAGGUACCGCAUGAAUAAGGACCGGCUAAUUCCGUGCCAGCAGCCGCGGUAAUACGGAAGGUCCGGGCGUUAUCCGGAUUUAUUGGGUUUAAAGGGAGCGUAGGCCGUGGAUUAAGCGUGUUGUGAAAUGCAGGUGCUCAACGUCUGCACUGCAGCGCGAACUGGUCCACUUGAGUGUGCGCAACGCAGGCGGAAUUCGUCGUGUAGCGGUGAAAUGCUUAGAUAUGACGAAGAACUCCGAUUGCGAAGGCAGCUUGCGGGAGCACAACUGACGCUGAAGCUCGAAAGUGCGGGUAUCGAACAGG